rnacentral:tRNA from 1 species
UAGCCUAGUGGUUAAGGCUAUGGAUCGCCAAUCCGAAGACGGCGGGUUAGAUUCCCGU